rnacentral:rRNA from 1 species
UGGCGGCAGUUGCGCGGUGGUCCCACCCUGACCCCAUGCCGAACUCAGAAGUGAAACGCCGUAGCGCCGAUGGUAGUGUGGGGUCUCCCCAUGCGAGAGUAGGGAACUGCCAGACA